CGUGCGCGGCGUCGGAGCAAGCGGCCCCUUCCUUCGGCCCCGCCCAGCCCCGCCGGCCGCCCGCUCCCUGGGGAACCGAGGGAGGAAUGGGCGGGGUCCUCAGGUGCCCGGCGACGUCAUCCAGCCCCCAAGGCUCCAGGACGCAAAGGGUCCCCUGAUCUGGCAGUCCCUGGACCUACCCUGGAGAGCGUGGGGGGACAAAGGCCGGACGCGCCGCCCGCUGCCGCCUCCAGGAAGCCCUCCCUUGCCAGGACAGUGGAGUUGGCCGGGUCCUUCCAAAGUGCCUACGGAAAGCUUUGUCCCAUCCUUGAAAAAUUGCUAAUGGGUUUGGAGAUACGAGGUGGAGAUGACUAGCAAUCAAACUCAAAGGUGGAAGUCACAUCGAGGCAGAUGAGCAGAUGAGGGGACCUAGAGAAGAAGAGAGGUGCAAGGAGAGCCCAGCCAGCAGGAACAUCUGCCCCAGUAGGCAGCACUGCCCCACAUCAGAGUCGAGGAAAGCAAAGCUCGGAUUGGAUAAAAGAAACUUGCAAACACGGUCAGUGCUUACUGCAUGUGGGCUCAGAGCACGUUACCCUCCUUCCCUGCAUGUUCCUGUGAAACGGGUUUACUGCUCUAACUCUCAGGGACACUGUGAAGACCAAACGAGAAAAUAGAAACAAACAUAAUUUAUAAACCAUAAAGUACUGACACCAAAAGAGGGGCGAGCACAGCAUUGUGAAUGUGCUGGUACUAAAUGGUUUGUUUUAAGAUGAUUUUAUGGUGUGUGAAUUUCACUUGAAUAAAUUUUUUUAAUGGAGUUCA
rnacentral:lncRNA from 1 species